rnacentral:rRNA from 1 species
UCUUGAGUUAUUAUGAAGUGGUUAGAAUGAGUAGUGUAGCGGUGAAAUGCAUAGAUAUUACUCAGAAUACCGAUUGCGAAGGCAGAUCACUAAUAAUAUACUGACGCUGAUGGACGAAAGCGUAGGUAGCGAACAGGAUUAGAUACCCUGGUAGUCUACGCCGUAAACGAUGGUUACUAGCUGUUCGGAUCGAUUGAGAUCUGAGUGGUUAAGCGAAAGUGAUAAGUAACCCACCUGGGGAGUACGUUCGCAAGAAUGAAACUCAAAGGAAUUGACGGGGGCCCGCACAAGCGGUGGAGCAUGUGGUUUAAUUCGAUGAUACGCGAGGAACCUUACCAGGGCUUAAAUGUAGUCUGACAGGGGUGGAAACACCCUUUUCUUCGGACAGAUUACAAGGUGCUGCAUGGUUGUCGUCAGCUCGUGCCGUGAGGUGUCAGGUUAAGUCCUAUAACGAGCGCAACCCCUGUGGUUAGUUGCCAGCGAGUAAUGUCGGGAACUCUAGCCAGACUGCCGGUGCAAACCGCGAGGAAGGUGGGGAUGACGUCAAAUCAUCACGGCCCUUACGUCCUGGGCCACACACGUGCUACAAUGGUAGGGACAGAGAGCAGCCACUUCGCGAGAAGGAGCGAAUCUACAAACCCUAUCACAGUUCGGAUCGCAGUCUGCAACUCGACUGCGUGAAGCUGGAAUCGCUAGUAAUCGCAUAUCAGCCAUGAUGCGGUGAAUACGUUCCCGGGCCUUGUACACACCGCCCGUCAAGCCAUGGAAGCCGGGGGUACCUGAAGUCGGUCACCGCAAGGAGCCGCCUAGGGUAAAACUGGUAACUGGGGCUAAGUCGUAACAAGGUAACCGUA